UUUCGGUUUUAAUCUAAAAGUAUAUUUUAAAAUGAAUGGAUGGUGUGGAUAAACCACAUACAUCACAGUAGGCCCCACGGAGCUUCCAACAGGACCGUCCCUCUCUAAUUCCUUCGUCGCAUGAACUACCAAUUCGGCACCAAAAAAACAGCUCCCGCGCCAGGUAAGAAAACCUUUGCUAUUCUUUUCUUUCCUGCACAAGGAAGCAAGAACGGAAGCCCUAGCCCACCUGCCUCGUGAGAUCAUCGACCCCACGAACCAGCACCUCAAGCGUGCAAUGGAUCUCUCCAUAAAGCACCCGAAGAUCUACAGGUCCUCCUCUUUCUCUAUACAUAUUUUUCGUUCAUCAAUUCAAUCGAUUUUAUUUUUUUUCUUCAGAUUCUGUCUUACUGUAGGUUAUAAAACGAGUUGCAAAUGAUUGAAUCUGUAUAGUUUACAUCAGUCUUUAUAUAUAAAAAUAAAUAAAUUAAAUUUGGUUAUGUUAUUCUUUGCCACCUUACAUGCUUGAUAAAAUGCCAAACGGCCCAAACUUGCUGUAUUGGGGAGAACCCUGCUUUAUUCUCCUGAGCUGGGUUUUUCUGUACAUGGUGUAAAAGAAAAGUUUUAUUGCUAUAACUUUUCUAAUAGAAACUUCACAAUGUACUAUAUAUGUAUAUCAGAUUUCAUGUGUACAGUUAUAAUGCUAAAAUUGACUGUUUAAAUCUGGGAAAACUGCCACAUGCAUAUAUAGAAAUGAUAAAAAUUCAGAUCAAACUGCACUCAGUUUCUUAAAAGAAACAUUUCAAUAAUUCUGCAGCAUCAGUUUUUUGCUUCUCCUAUGUACUGGUAUGAAGUAUUAAGCUUAAUUCUCUGAUAUGUUGUGCAGUCAUAGGCUGUGAUUGGACGGUUCUGUUGGUGGUAGAAAGCCAUUUGUUCGAAUAAAGCUACUGAUUCUGUUAAGCAUAUAGAAAUUUUGUAGUAAUCAUGGGAGGGAAUAGCUCUACUUUGGAAUCCUAUGAUAUCUACCAUAAAGAAUCCAGAGGGUAUUCAAGGAUUCCCAAUAACUACAACUCGCUCGAUCAGGUAAUUGAUUAUGGAGUUCAUAAGCUUUGGAAAUACAAUAACGUUGGGGUGUUUCAUGUAUUACCUACCUUGUCAAUUCCAUGUUGAAUUGCCUCAUUGAGCCGCUUGUGAAAACUAUCUGGUCCUCUUCUUAAUAGACCUUGAAUAAUAAAUAAUAAUUGCUUUCAAAGCUGAUGAUUGUAUUGUCUAUAUGCGCUAGCUGUUGGCUGAAAUGGAUAUUAGUUGAGUAGAUCCUGAGUAACUUUCUCAUCUUGCAAUUCUAUGGACAAGGCCCAACUAUAUUAUAUGUAGGGAUUUUCAAAAUAAUUUACUUUUAAAUAUUUCAGGCACUCUUGAUCCUCAUGCAAACAUCACCAUCAUGGAGAGCUGGAUGAAAAGGCAAAAAUCAUACAUGAGGAUUUGGCCAAUCACUCCCGCGUACAGAGCUUGACAUUUCUAAUAAAAUAGCAAGGUAUUCGUUGACCCAGCUGAUUCAUCCCAGAAACCGAAGUGAAGGCUGAAUGUUGAGUUCUGAACAUACAUGGAUACAUCUACAUGAAUUAGUCAAGCAUUCUAGUUUGCUCAUUGUUUUGUCUAUUGUAGUUCUUUUGACAUUGGAGUGUGCAUGACUGUUUGAUUUUCGGUGGAUUGAUAGAGAAAUUGUAAUGUUACAAAACCUGAAUGUUUGGACUGAGCGUUGAGGCCCAUGUGUUGGAAAUGUAUGUGCUUGUAUUUUU